GGACAAAACUAUAAAUUUCGAGAACCUCAAACGACUUCCCUUGGAGUGGUGCCUGAGGAGGUGGUUUGCCAUCCAAGGGGGGUGAUUGAGGUGUUCUGUGUUCAGCCCUUCAUUUGUGUCAUCAUAUGUCAUAAGUCAUAAGACCACUUCUUUAUCUAUGCAUAAGACUCAUAACCAUAGAUAAAGACCUCAUAUCAACCGUUUACAAGUGUACCGUACUUCGAGCUAGUUGCUUAGUGAUGUUGUUUCAGCUGCAGUUUUUAUCACGAGAGCUGGACUUGACACAGGAGGCGAAUUAGCUCUACAAUAUGCCACUGACGGAUCGAUUGUUGUAUUCGUAUUGCAAACCAAACAAACAAUGAGGAAACGGCGAAGUUAAUAAAGAUAAAUGACACUCAUAUUGUAUAUAUAGUUCCCUCAGUAUAAUUAAUUAUUAAUGUUUGUCAGAAUACAUUCGACUUGUAGCAAA